CCUAAAAAGGCCCUAUUUUCCUCUCCCACUCUCAAUCCUCGCAGGAAAAUUAAGUGGCUGUGAUGACACUUUCCAAGUAAAUCAGACAUUUGAAAGGACCCAUCUCUUGGCUGGGCGACCCGGAUUGUCUGUGAAAUGGGUUUCUAUGCCCUUUUUUUCACAUGCAACUGUAGUUGCAGCCAUGGCGAACAUGGAUCUUGUCUGAUUACGGGCAGAUCUGAGCCCUCCCUGGACCCGUGAUGUCCAUCUUUAUUUAUUUAUUUAUUUAUUAUUGUUUGGUUGGAUGUAUUUAGGGUCCUGGAUCUGUUUCCAAGUAAAUAAAUCGAGGGGCUAUGAUGAUACUUUCCAAGUAAAUCAGAGAUUAUGAAGGGCUCGUUUCUUGGCGGGGCAACCCGGAUGAUCUGUGAAAUGGGUUUCAUUUUACAGGCAACCGUAGUUGCAGCCAUGGCGUCCCAGCAGCUCGUCUGAUUACGGCCGGAUCUGAGCCUCUAUUGCCCGGUGCAUGAUAAUAGGAUCUGGAUCUUAAUAAAAAUGUGUCAUCUGUGUAGGAUUAAAGUAGUGGGAGGCCCAAAGAAGAUGAGUCAUGCUUGGUCCCGCAAAGUAUAAUUGAUCAUACCAAUCAAAUAUAAUUUCUUUUUCUUUUUUUAA